rnacentral:lncRNA from 1 species
UCACUUUUCUAAUGGUCCGUCCCUUAUACUAAGUCUAAGGGCAUAUGGCUAACGUGAGCAUUCAAAUUCCAAGUGCAUACAAUGCUGAUAUUCCCUGUUAUUUAGAAAUUCUUGUUUUGUUCCCUUAUACAUUAAAGAAACAGAUAUCUUUGGGUCUUGUACUCCUUUAACUGUUUAAUAUACUGUAUGUUUUGUUAAUAUUUGUGUCUUGUUGAUAUUUUAAUCGUGGACAUGGUGUAUUGAGAGUCCAUAUUAAUUAAAGUGAUUUUAAUCUGUUUCUGAUAUGUUUCGCUGUGGAUUAAUAAGUUGUUUUCUCGCUAACAUGUGCCAAUCGAGGCAGCAAUUUCCUUGCGACAGUAACUCCUAGUUUUAAUUGGAUGCAAGUAUAAGUGACAUAAGUCGCAGCAAGCUUGCGCGUUGGUUUCU